CACUUGCAUGGAACAUUAAAUAUAGAUAAAAAAGAUAACUAAUUGCACAGUUUACCUGUAAAUCACGAUACGAAUCUUUUAAGCCUAGUUACUUCAUGAUUGGAUAAUAUUUGUCAAAUAAAAACAAAAGCGUAUAGUGUCAAAAUCAAAAAAAAAUUUGGAUCUAAACAAAGCCUUAGGAAAAACACUUUUUUUUUCUGAGCUUAUAACUUGGACUAGCCCCUGCAGCCAUCCCAGCUAGAAGCGUGGCAUGUCAAAUAUGCGCCGAAGGAACUAUCCACUGCACUUUUGACGCGUGCGUGGUUUUACAUCAAAAUUUCCCUUCGUGUUUUGCAAGGUUACACAAAAUUCAUAUUUCAUUUUUCAACUUGCCGUGUUUAGUUUCCAAAAAUUCCGCGACACUGUAGCACAUUCGUUUAUUUGUGGUAAUUAUUAUCCAACCAUAGACUAACUAGGCUCAAAAGAUUCGUCUCGUAAAUUUUGACCAAACUAUGCAAUUAGUUUUUAUUUUCGUCUAUAUUUAAUACUCCAUACAUGCAUCUAAAGACUUGUUCAGUUACCAAUUUUUUUUGUUUUUGGGUCCUAUAUCACUUUCAUUUUUUUUUUGAUAAACAUUGUCCAAUCAUGGAGUAACUAGGCUCAAAAGAUUCAUCUCACGAUUUACAGUCAAAAUAUGCAAUAUUUUCAUUUUUAUUUAACAUUCCAUGCAUGUGCCACAAAUUUUGAUGUGACGCAAAAUAUGGAAAAUUUUUGGAAACUAAACAAGGUCUUGCAACCUCAGGUAGUCUAGUUGAUGUGACAACUUGUUAUGGUGUAUUUAGGCCUUGUUUAGUUCUCAAAAAAAUUUGCAUAUUUUUUCAGAUUAUCCGUCACAUCAAAUCUUUAGACGCAUGCAUGUAGUAUUAAAUGUAGAUGAAAAUAAAAACUAAUUACACAGUUUGGUC
rnacentral:lncRNA from 1 species